ensembl:misc_RNA Y_RNA Y RNA
GACUUAUCUGAGUGCAGUGAUGUUUACAACUAACUGAUCACAGAUUUACAGAGUCCUUUGUUACUUCUCUACUCCCACUGCUUCACUUGACUAGUUGAAA